AGCUUUGCGCAGGAGGCAAUAUCAUAAUCGAUGAAGUGAAAACUGAGAUGUGAUUAUUGCUAGUUGAAAACUUUAUACCAAUACCCCGUCGUGUGGACUGUUAUGCAGUCCGCUGUGACAAUUUUUGAAAGCUCGAAAGAGC